CACACACACACACACACACACACAUUGCAGAUUUUCCCCAGAUGCCUGGGGCGAAAUUGCUUUUCCUAGGAGUCGCCGACACGCUAGGACAAUGACCUACGGCAACACCGUUUGACUCUCAGAACAGAUGACAGGAGCCUUUUCUCCGGCACAACGUCUGUCAGCAAAUUCCAAACGAACAUUUUAAGGAUUCUAAAGGUGGUAUGAAAGAAAGGGGGAAAAAAACCAAGUCACACAAGGAGUUUUGACUGACAAAGUCAAGAUUCUGCAGAGAGGAAAGAAACCCCACAGAUUCCACAGAGAAGAUAAUUACUGCGGUCGGCACUGUAAUCGUCAAAUGGCCCAUCCUGACUGAAGCCAGCGUAACGGUGAGCUUGCGGGGGACCUAAUCAGCACGCUGCGCUGUGGACCUCGAACGUGGUGUGCUUGUUAACACCUCACAAAGCGCCAAGCCACAGCACUGAAAAGGAAGACAAAAAAACAGGAGUAACGGCCAUAACUGAGGCCCUUCAAAACCUGACCUGUCAGAGCUCCCACAGGGAGAGGGAAUGUAAAUGUAUCUGAUGCUGCAGACUGGUCCCAAGGUGUCACAGGCAGGUCAUAGUGUGCUUAUUAAGUGCAGUUUGCUUUCUGCUGCAGCCUGCUAGACAAAAAUAUAUGUAUUUGCCAAAGGCUUCGAAAAUUGUUUUAACUGGUCAAAAAGCAAUAGUUUACAAUAAUCCAGUAAACCUAGCAAAUUCUGCGAUAAAUAAACUGGGCAUAGUUUGACGACUGACACGAAACAGAUCUAGACGGAACUGAUAUUACCCACCACUCCCAAAAAAAGAGGGAAAACUGAACUGUGACAUCACCAUCCACGGCCCAGAUCUACACCACAGAGUUCAGGGCAGCGUGAUGCAAAUGUACAGAACAGCAUAAUAUGGGAUAGGAAACUCUUAGAGCUGUCUAAGUUGUCGUGUUACUCUUUUUACCGUCGCUAACAAUGGCAACUGUAACACUGCAACAACUAACCGUGAUGAAUAGAAGGACUCAGGUUUUCUAGUGAUUGAAUGUGAAUCUAAGCAGUAGAUUCACAAAUAAAUAACGAAUGGUGUGUGUGAAUGGGUGUCACCGUGGGACGUUCUCUUUGAGGAAGUGAGAUGCAAAGUUCUUGCGACGUUUCCACUGCAUCGCCACAGCAAUGUGACGCCUUUCGCGUUCAGUUACCUUGUAAGGGAAUUCAUCAGCCAGGCUUACGUGCUCUUAAGUUUAGGGCUGAAAGGCAAGGUCACUUAAAACGGCUUCAGCCCACCUUAGGAUCGUGAAAGGGGCGGGGCCUCCUCCAGGUGCUGCAAAACUAUUGGUCCUUGCUGAUAGCUAAAAUGCCAUUACCUGGGUCGAGAAGGUAGACAGCUGAGAGGAACUCCUGAGGGAUUUGUCCAUGUUCUUGCAGCGGCUGCAGCUCUCCCAAAUAUUUGAAACAAGUAGUUUUCUUAUUUUGUUGUUUUUCUAGUAAAUGAAAGUUUUGUUUUGUUUUGUUUUGGUGUUUUUUUUGUUUCUGUUUUUCUCCCUGUAGAAGUUUUUCUCACAUGAGAGUUUUCAGUGAUCCGCAUUUAAGGACUUCUAGUGAUUUUACCGGGCUGCUGCAACUCCACGGCAAACAAAAAGAUCUCCCACUCUGCCCCGGGUCAGGAGAUGCUGCAGUGACAGCAGGAGGAGCCGUCCUGUGACGAAACCUGUCCAUGUGUUCUAUCCUUCAUUCCACCGGAGUCUGUUACUUCUACCCAAUCAGAUUUCAGUGGUGUGAAGAGUAAGAAACAUGGAUCUUACCGCGAUGAACAGCAGGACUGAGCCGGAAACUUAGAAUAAACCAAAGUCACUCCUGAUUAAUAAAAAAAUAUGGCAGCAGGACUGAUUGGUUCAAAGUACGAUGAACCAUCAUCACAGCCAUUACUUUAAGUAGUGAUGUUAAAUGAUCUAUCUAUCUAUCUAUCUAUCUAUCUAUCUAUCUAUCUAUCUAUCUAUCUAUCUAUCUAUCUAUCUAUCUAUCUAUCUAUCUAUCUAUCUAUCUAUCUAUCUAAAGAAGGGAAAAUUUCCAUGGAAAUUGUCCGGCUGUAAUUCAAUCUGACUGUGAUUACCAAUGGAUUAUAAUAAACCAUGCCCUUUGAAUUAAAAACACAAA